UACGUAGGGUGCGAGCGUUAAUCGGAAUUACUGGGCGUAAAGGGCGCGUAGGCGGCCUGUUAAGUCGAACGUGAAAUCCCCGGGCUCAACCCGGGAACUGCGUCCGAUACUGGCAGGCUUGAAUUCGGGAGAGGGAUGCAGAAUUCCAGGUGUAGCGGUGAAAUGCGUAGAUAUCUGGAGGAAUACCGGUGGCGAAGGCGGCAUCCUGGACCGAGAUUGACGCUGAUGAGCGAAAGCUAGGGGAGCAAACGGG
rnacentral:rRNA from 1 species